GGGCCCGCACAAGCGGUGGAGUAUGUGGUUUAAUUCGAUGCAACGCGAAGAACCUUACCAGGGCUUGACAUCCUGCGAAUCUCUGGGAAACCGGAGAGUGCCUUCGGGAACGCAGUGACAGGUGGUGCAUGGCUGUCGUCAGCUCGUGUCGUGAGAUGUUGGGUUAAGUCCCGCAACGAGCGCAACCCACGUCUUUAGUUGCCAGCAUUUAGUUGGGCACUCUAGAGAGACCGCCGGUGACAAACCGGAGGAAGUGUGGAUGACGUCAAGUCAUCAUGCCCCUUACGUCCUGGGCUACACACGUGCUACAAUGGCCGGUACAAAGGGCAGCGAAGCCGCAAGGUGGAGCGAAUCUCACAAAACGGUCGU
rnacentral:rRNA from 1 species